rnacentral:rRNA from 1 species
UACAGAGGGUGCGAGCGUUAAUCGGAAUUACUGGGCGUAAAGCGUGCGUAGACGGUUAUUUAAGUCGGGUGUGAAAGCCCCGGGCUCAACCUGGGAAUUGCAUUCGAGACUGAAUAGCUAGGGUACGGUAGAGGGAAGUGGAAUUUCCGGUGUAGCGGUGAAAUGCGUAGAUAUCGGAAGGAACAUCAGUGGCGAAAGCGACUCCUGGACCAGUACCGACGUCAGGCACGAAAGCGUGGGGAGCAAACAGGA